rnacentral:rRNA from 1 species
GAUGAACGCUGACAGCAUGCUUAACACAUGCAAGUCUUUGGCGAAUCUGUGCUUGCACCGGCUUGCCAAGGCGGACGGGUGAGUAACGCGUAAAGAACUUGCCCUGCAGACAGGGAUAACAGACGGAAACGACUGAUAACACCUGAUACAGUUGCCGGCACGCAUGUGCCUGGCAAUGAAAAGAGAUGCUGCAGGAGAGCUUUGCGUCCUAUUAGCUUGUUGGUGAGGUGACGGCUCACCAAGGCGAUGAUAGGUAGCCGGCCUGAGAGGGUGAACGGCCACAAGGGGACUGAGAUACGGCCCUUACUCCUACGGGAGGCAGCAGUGGGGAAUAUUGGACAAUGGGGGCAACCCUGAUCCAGCAAUUCUGUGUGCACGAAGAAGGUUUUCGGAUUGUAAAGUGCUUUCAGCAGGGAAGAAGAAAGUGACGGUACCUGCAGAAGAAGCGACGGCUAAAUACGUG